GACGAACGCUGGCGGCGUGCUUAACACAUGCAAGUCGAACGGAAAGGCCCUGCUUUUGUGGGGUGCUCGAGUGGCGAACGGGUGAGUAACACGUGAGUAACCUGCCCUUGACUUUGGGAUAACUUCAGGAAACUGGGGCUAAUACCGGAUAGGAGCUCCUGCUGCAUGGUGGGGGUUGGAAAGUUUCGGCGGUUGGGGAUGGACUCGCGGCUUAUCAGCUUGUUGGUGGGGUAGUGGCUUACCAAGGCUUUGACAGGUAGCCGGCCUGCGAGGGUGACCGGCCACAUUGGGACUGGGAUACGGCCCAGACUCCUACGGGAGGCAGCAGUGGGGAAUAUUGCACAAUGGGCGGAGGCCUGAUGCAGCAACGCCGCGUGCGGGAUGACGGCCUUCGGGUUGUAAACCGCUUUCGCCUGUGACGAAGCGUGAGUGACGGUAAUGGGUAAAGAAGCACCGGCUAACUACGUG
rnacentral:rRNA from 1 species